GCCCUGGCCUCAAAGAGUUUAUCAUCUCAUUGUCUACACAGGAUAGAGGAAAUUAUUUAACUUCCUAUAUUUUGUAACACCCCCACUUCUUAUUUCUACAGCUGACAUGAAGCUGAAAUGGCCAGUCUAACAUUUUUCUCCUCUGGGAGUGCAGGUGUCUGAGCUGUAAAGGGAACUCGCUACCUUUGGGUCUUACUGUCCCCUCUUAUCUCUUCUGCCAUUUCAAAUUGCUGACAAUCUUAAGGCCUACUUCUUCCACAGGAUCAGAAUCCCUUCAGCUGCACUGAACCUGUUCCCAUUUUCCUAAUCACUUCAUGUCUUUGCACACGUUGUUCCUGCUGCUUGAAAUGCUCUUCUUCCCCUUGCAAACUUUGAGAUCCACCAUGAGUCAGAUGGUGAAAAAUUACUUCUUCCUCUGGGGCCCAAGCACAUUUGGUUCAGACACCCACUACAGCACGUGCUGAGAACUAACAGACUGUAACUUUUGUCUUCCCUACCCCACUAUGAGCUCCUAGAAGCCAGGGACCCUGUUCCUUUCCUAUUCAGUUACUCUCUGUGGCUCCAGGGCUUGACAGCUCAGGUGCGCUCCUUUCCUCAACCUCAUGGGCUCUGACUGUCAGCGCACCCCAUCUUGGUCACUGACUGUUCUGUCUGACUUGAGAGUCUUCUCUCUGCAUCUGAGGAGGUGACUUAAGAUUAUGGUUAAGCACAUGGGCUUAAACGUCACACCUGGGUUUGAAAGGCCGCCAUAAGUAACCCUGUAACCACAGGCAAGUGACUAAACUCUGAACUUCAGCUUCCUAGUCUGUCAACGGCCACUGUGAACCACCUAGUCAGUCAUGGUGAGCAUGAAGUAACUCAGUUCCCAAGUCCCAUUAUGCUCCCUCCUUCCUUAUAGCUUUCAAAUAUCUGCCUGGAGCACUGUGUUGCCCUCUCACUAACUGAAUUAUCUAUUCUUCAGAUCUCAGCUCACUGCAGGCUAGGUUAGAAGCCCUAGGUAGUUCCACUCCUAACAAUUAUUUUUCUUUCAGAGCAUUUAUAAAGUUGACUUUUAACUCCUGUGUGAUCAUUUCAUCAAUGCUCCAGACUGCGGGCUCCUUUGAGUGUGCCCCUGGCCCUUAGCAACCAUUCAGUAAAUAUGGAUGUUAGUUUGACAUUAAGCAGCACUUGAGCACUUUGAAGGCACCCAGCCUGUCCUGGCCUCCCUCGAACGGGUGGGGAGCCGGUGUCCUCCCCCCAAGGCACUCAUUCUGUCAGACUCAUUCACACGCUGCGGAGCCAGCAGAAGAGGCCUACACCGCCCAGCGGGCCGCGCCCUACACGGGCAGUCCAACUUGAACCACCAGUAGAGAAGUUACUCGGCUGGGAGACUAUGGCCAAUCGGACCGGUUCCUCCAGGCAGCGGGCAAGGCGCACGUGACCCCGGGAAUGAGCCACGGAUAGGGGCAGGCGGCCCAGAGAGUCAGGAAUGCUCAGCGCCUGUCUGUUCCAACGGAAGAGGAGCACAGCCGCCUCCAGGUGGCCCAGGGCACAAGCCCACAUCUGAGGAGAAGAGGGCGGAGGUGGAGAGUGCCCUCAUGGAGGUACCUGAAUUGGAGGGGCGUCAGGAGCCUGGCAGGGGGCCUGCCCAGCUGCUGCGAUCUCUGCCAUCCGCUUCUCCAUCUGCUCCAGUCGCUCCAGGAUGGACAUCCGGAACUGGUUGUCUGGGGGGAAGAGGAGUGGGCAUGGGGGGCUCAGUGAGCAGGGUCCAGGGGAUGCCCUGGGCAACAAAGCUAGAUCCUGUCCCAGGGUCUGAGUGAUGAAGACACAAGCAUAUCCUUUCCUCUUCUUCAUACAACAGCCCUUUACCCGCCCCCCCCACCUUCUGAAUAGAGACCCCCAGGACCAGUCCUCAGUCUAGGGCUCUUCAUACCACGUGUCCACCUAGGACCUGAAUGCAGAACCAAGACUGUGUCCUUCAAGACAUAUAGACGGUAGGACUCCCCGCUGGGUGUCCAGCCCCAGUUGCCCCAGAUCUCUCUCUCUCUCACACACACACACACACGCCCCAGAUCUCACACACAUACAUGCACGUGCGCGUAUUCCCAGCCUCCUCCCAGGUGGCUUAUUUUGUUCCUUCUUGCCCCAGACACUACCUUCGUCCCCCAUGCUGGGGCUGAAGGACUUCAGGGUCCCUCCUCUCUGUUAAUCACUGCCCCAAAGAACUCAGAGACUGAUUUGAAAAGCACCACCCCCUCCUCCUGGUCCCCCGCAGCUGUCCACAAAGAGGAUGGUGGGGAGGGGAGGUGACAGAGAUGGAUGGCCAAGUCCAUUUCUCCUCCUCCUCCCCCACCCCAUGCACAAAUGCACACGCACACAUCCCAAGCUAUAUCUGUCCCCUCCUGAGAUCACACAAGGACGAGGAGGGGAGGCAGAAGGGGGUCAGAGCCGUGGGAAAACAAACAGGUGGAGGCUGGGGAUGUUUUGAGAUGCCAGGACAAGAAGGUAGAGAGGGGAUGGUGGGGAGGAGGGUAGAGAGGGCUGAGCAGAGAGGGGAAGAUAAACAAGGGGAAGGAGAGAAGAGAAAAAGGGCAAAGGAGAGCUGGGGAUGUAGAACGAACAAGCAAUAGGGAAGGAAGAGGGGAAGUGAAGACAAAAAUCCAAGGAGGAAUGGAGAGAUGAGAGAGGCAGGAGACACUGGAGAGAUGGUAAAGCACAGGUUAAACAGGAAGAAAUGGAGACAAACCUCAAGAAAGAAGCAGAUGCAGAGAAACAGUUCUGAAAGCCACAGGAGGGAUAACUAGUAAAGGGGACAAACAGCUCUGGAUUUAAACAAAUACACACACACGUACAUACACGUGUAUGUAUGUGCAUCUCUGUGUUGGUAUAUGAAGAUAUAUUAAAAAGUGGUGUGCUCGUGUUGGUAUAUGAAGAUAUAUUAAAAAGUGGUGUAUGUUAUUGA